AAAAAAGCAAACCCUGGGUUUCCGUUUCCAACUUUAACUGUCCGUCUUAUAUGAAAUUUUUUUAUAAUUUGUAUUUUCAUUGCUGUUAGAUGAUAAAACAUGAUUAAUAUUUUAUACGUGACUUGUCUUUUUCAUUUUUUCAUUAUUUUUUCAAAUAAGACGGACGGUCAAACGUUGGGCACGGAAACCAUGGUUUGUCUUUUU
rfam:Oryza nivara chromosome 3, whole genome shotgun sequence.